UGCCAGCAGCCGCGGUAAUACGUGUGGGGCAAGCGUUGUUCGGAAUUACUGGGCUUAAAGGGUUCGUAGGCGGUUUUGUAAGUCAGGGGUGAAAGUCGGUGGCCCAACCAUCGAAUUGCCUUUGAUACUGCAUCACUUGAGUGUGUUAGGGGAGAGCGGAACGUGUAGUGUAGCGGUGAAAUGCGUAGAUAUUACACGGAAGGCCGGAGCCGAAGGGGGCUCUCUGGGUCGAUAUUGACGCUGAGGCGCGAAGGCGUGGGUAGCGAACGGGAUUAGAUA
rnacentral:rRNA from 1 species